CCUACAAUGACGCAGCCCCAAUCCUCACCCGAACUGCCCCGCGACACCCUCCCGGGGCUCUCCCCGCCUCCCGUACAACGCCCUCUUCGGCGCGCUCAUCGCCGGAGCGGCUCGGAGCGGCGUGCGCUGGAAGCCGGAGUCGGGAAGGAGUGCGACCACCAGCGGGAGACAAGGGGAGGCGCCGUCGUGCUCUCUCUGGUCGCCUGCACGGCCACCAGAGGGGAGAGGGUCAGGGGAAGCGGCUGCCUACGACUCUGUUGGGGGAUGCAGCGUAUGGCGAGAGGGGGCGCGCAGUAGGGAAGGCAGCGGUCGGAUCCAAGCGGGGGUGAGGCCUGGUCGCCAGGCCCAUGGCGGCCAGAUCCGGGCCACGCAUGGAGUUGGUGCGUCCCGCCGAUGUGUAAAGGAAGCACAGGGCGGCGCGUCAGCGUGUCGUGGUGCACAACACCGUGCGGGGUGAGCGGUGGGAUGCGAACGGCGUUGUAGGCGCCGAUGCCGUACAUGCUUUGAUUUGCUGCCGCCGCCGCCUCCGCUUGAGUUCUACGGACGCUGCCCUUUGAGCCGGAACCGCAUCCGUUGAGGACUCCAGGUAUCGCCAUCCAGGACGACCAUCUAGAACCGAGCUGGAAACGCCACUAUCGAGGAUGAUAGACCGCCACCGAGGCUGAUUGUUGUGGACGCGCCCGCGCACCACCAGUCUCCUGGUUGUGGAUUUCUGCUCACGUUGGUAUGCAUGAAUCGUUGAGAAUAAUGUGGAAUCAUCUCAUCUUCAUGCUACUUCCAGCCAAAUAUACAUGAUCUGGUAAAGGGGGAGACAAUGCUAGAGGCAGAGAUGGCAAGGUAGAGGUGGAGGAAGAAGGUGUGGUAGAGGAGGUAAAAUUCAUGCCAAACAGAAGAAGCAGGGGUUGAGGAAGCUCAGGUACAAGCUGAAGAUUAGGAGGAAGAUUUACAACCCAAUGUUGAAGGAUGCAUGUAUCAUAUUUUGUUUGCUUGUAGCUACAACCCAAAAGGGAGAAAUGCAGAAGAAUUUGUUCAGACUUCAAACAUCUGUGGUCGAGGAGAGAGCAACACCCAACAGUCUGCACUACACACUUGACAUAUGUGCAAAGGUGAAAAAUUGCCCUUUUCUUGAUGCUUGUAAUUAUUGAUGUCUCAUAGUUAGGAUAAUGAGUAUGCACUUUGUGAUGCUUUUGUUUUGCCCCAAAGAACUAAUGUCAUGAUACAGUUUGUCAUGAUAUAUCAUAGUUAUACUCUGUCAAAUGACAUUUGUUUUGUUAUCUCUGAUUAGAGCUUGUUCUGUGUCCAUGUAUAGAAGAAAAAUAUUUUUGC